GGAGGUAUAACUCAGUGGUAGAGUAUGUGGUUUAGCAUGAGCAAGGUCCUGGGUUCAAUCCCCAGUACCUCCA
rnacentral:tRNA from 1 species